rnacentral:rRNA from 1 species
GGACGAACGCUGGCGGCGUGCUUAACACAUGCAAGUCGAGCGGUAAGGCCCUUUCGGGGGUACGACGAGCGGCGAACGGGUGAGUAACACGUGGGUGACCUGCCCUCAGCUCUGGGAUAAGCCUGGGAAACCGGGUCUAAUACUGGAUAUGACUCCAUGACGCAUGUUGUGGGGUGGAAAGCCUUGUGCGGCUGAGGAUGGGCCCGCGGCCUAUCAGCUUGUUGGUGGGGUGAGGCCUACCAAGGCGACGACGGGUAGCCGGCCUGAGAGGGCGACCGGCCACACUGGGACGUGAGACACGGCCCACGACUCCUACGGGAGGCAGCAGUGGGGAAGUCUUGCGCAAUGGGCGAAAGCCUGACGCAGCGACGCCGCGU